rnacentral:tRNA from 1 species
GCAGAGGUGGCUCAGUAGCUGAGAGCACUGGCUGGCUGACUGUUCUUCCAGAGGUCCUAGGUUCAAUUCCCAGCACCUACA